rnacentral:lncRNA from 1 species
UAUUAUCUGCAUACAAAAUGAAUUUCCAAAAAUCUAGUCACAAAUAAAUAUGAUAACACAUUAAGUGUACACAAAAGAAUGAAGAAAUUUUCUAGACUCUGAAGAACCAUUAUUUCCUACGUUAAGAUAGUAAAAACAUGAAAACCAUUAUGUUCAGUUGUAAGUACAAAAUCACAAACAUAUCUGUAAUUUGAUUCAUUUGAUCUAUUUCCGAAAAAAGGCAUUAGGCUACACAAAAGUAAGAAGCUGAGGGGCCAAGAUUCUGAAAUGGGUGUUAAGGAAAAAUUUAUCUCUAAAAAUGAGAAACUUCAUAAAAAUGAUUACAUAUUUUGAAUUUCUGAGAUUUAAAGACUAACAGGUUACAAUCCAUUGGCGGAUCCACAUGGAUGGGAAGAGCUCAAGCCCCCAUGUGGAUUUGUUUUUCUUCUCUUAGGUGUAUAAGGGUCCAAUUAUGCCCCACACUCAUUGGCCAUUAACAAGUAGAAAAUGCAAACAGAAAGAUAUAGACGAGGUGAAGAAACCAUAUCAUUAUACUUUGAUAAUUAAAACUACAUGGAGAAACAAAUCAAGAUCUACGGUUUCUAAAAUUAAACGACGAUCACAAAAAAAAGGUUAAUAGACUGAGAUGAAACAAAGUCUAAAACAAAUAACAAUCUCUUUCAAUAAUAAAAUGAAAACAUCACUCACUGACGAGAGAGGAGAAAGACUGGAUGGCUAGGAACAACUGAGAAGUGAUGUUGGCGAUAAAGAUAAAGCAGCGAAUGCAAAAUAAUAUCAGGGAUUAGGCGAAAUCAACGAUUAGGAAGAAGAACGGCGGAAUAAGCGAACAGAAUGCUAGGGCUGAAAAAAUUGGAAAUGCUAGGGCUCAAAAUUUGGGAAUGCUAG